CCCAAGAGUGUCUAGUGAUGCAGGAGCUCCCUGCACCAUUAGAAUCGGUUUUUGCUAAGCCUUUGAAUCACUGAGGAAAUUCUGGAGAACCAGAAGAAAGCGUUGCUGCUCCCCACUCAUUGAUCCAGUAGCGUCCCAAUUGACUAGAUGGAGAAUAAACCUUCAGUAAGAUGUAAGCCUCCAAGCACGUUGUGGCUAUUUCUAGAAAUAAAUAUGCAAAGGAUCCUGUUUUAUUCAAGUAUUGGCAGAGACCUAGCACACUCAUUGCGUGGGUGUAGCAAGGCUCAGAGCAAGCCAGAAACUUGAAGUGGCUUUCUGUAGAAGAAACCUAGAAACCACACCUACAUAUCAAUUAAAGUUAGUGUCACUGAAGAAAACAAAAGAACUAAAAUAUCCACGGCAAAGACUGUAAAUAUAUCGUGUGCUAACCUAACUCACUUACUGUCCCCAGUAACCUUUGAUCCUCACUAUCUUGCAUUGCAUUUUUAUAUAUUUCUCACAGUGCAUUUUUUAUUUCAUCUGUUUCAUCUUUACCAUGGCAUUCUGUAUUUUAUAUGUUAUACUUUUAAACCCUUAAGGAAUGUACUCCCUGUAGAAUGAAGUUAUACCCUGGACCACUGUUAAAAAUUGCAUUGAAAUUGUAAUGGUAAAGUGAUAAAAUCUGCUAUAUUGGGCGGUCCCUUGAGUGAAUGCGAGUGUAUGGUGAUCAGGUAAUCACUACCACCCAUAACUCAAUUUUGCCCAGCUACUCAGAUCAAAAAGGCUAACAUUAUCCAUCUCAUAGACAACUGGUAGGGGGUGCAUAUACUCCCCUCCCCCCCCAACAGGGCUGGUGCCUCCCCGAUGGCUGACACUGAUACUGUCAGUAGGGCUGGUGCCCCCCUGACAGGAGGCAGUUUCUGUGGGUGUGCCUCAGAUUCAGGAGGCACCAGUCACACAUGAUCCAUCUCCAUCUUAAAGCUGGUUAGAUUUAAUACUGUUAUGCUGGGCAUAUGCCAAUCUCAAUUGCAGCAAAUAUUGAUUUGCUGAAAUGUCCAUGACUUAAGGGUGUUCCAAAGAUCAUAUAAUUUGCAGCCAGUCAAUUAUGAAUAAUGGCUCAAGGUUAUUGUGGCAGAGCUUGUUAGGAAAACAGACAUAGCUUUUCCUGCAUUUUUUAAGCAGUUACGAAUGUUUCUUCCUCCAAACAAUUUCACUCAUAAAUAGGAUUUUAAUAACCCGUGGGCCUCUGUGGAAAGGAAUGACAGCAGUAAGCAUAUUUGUAAGGAGAAGUAUAUAUCUUAGUAUAGUGAUGCAGGCAAACAUCCUUUGUGCAGCCCAGAAGGAGUAAUACACAAUAUUCUGAUUCUUUCAUUGUCAAAAGAAUAACUCCUUAUGUAACAAUUGAGAGUGGGAAACAAUAAAAUCACCUCUGUUUACUCA